GAUUGGGUGGCUCAGUGGUUUGAGCUGUGGAUCAGCAAUCAGUAGGUUGUUGGUUCAAACCCAGCUCAGGUCA
rnacentral:tRNA from 1 species